GCCGGGGUGACGGAAUUGGCAGACGUAACGGACUUAAAAUCCGUUGAGGUGUAAACCUCGUGCGGGUUCAAGUCCCGCCCCCGGCACCA
rnacentral:tRNA from 1 species